rnacentral:rRNA from 1 species
UACGAAGGGGCUAGCGUUGUUCGGAAUUACUGGGCGUAAAGCGCACGUAGGCGGCUUUGUAAGUUAGAGGAUGAAAGCCCGGGGCUCAACCCCGGAAUUGCCUUUAAGACGUGCAUCGCUUGAAUCCAGGAGAGGUGAGUGGAAUUCCGGAAGUUGUAGAGGUGAAAUUCGUAGAUAUUCGGAAGAAAGCACCAGUGGCGGAAGGCGACUCACUGGACAGGUAUUGACGCUGAGGUGCGAAAGCGUGGGGAGCAAACAGG